ACUAUACGUUGUAACUGCUGCUUUGCUAGCUCAAAAAACUAGGUUCAAUGAAUGUAGCCAAGAUAUAGUGAUAUACAUCAGUUGACGUUACUUAUCUGAGUAAAUUGUUAGUUGGUGUAGUUGUCGUGUAUCAGUCAGUGACACCCUUUAACGCACACUAGUUCUUGCGUUCCUGAAAACUGACAAUUCCAGCUAAGACCUUCCUUCCUCUUUUAAAACGCAAGUCUUGCCCUUCACACGACCACACAACGCAGAGAAACAGAUAGUGAGAGCUUUUGAUAGGGAAAAUAGUUUGUAUUGGGGAUCGUUACUGGUUCAUAUUAUCAUUUGAAAAGAUGUUUCCAAGAAGAACAUGGUCGCAAUUGUUGUUGCUGAAGUUAAUCCGACCGAAAGUAGUAUAAAUGACGGGCAUGUGGUUCGCGAGAAGCUGGUUCUUGUUGUUGCAAUUGUUCUUCAUGAACCAACUUCUCGCGAAACGCUUGUCUCAACUAAUCCUGCUCCGUAUCCAUGUCGGGUUUUGGCCCAACCACAGCAGCAUGAUGUACAAUUAUGUUGGAGAUACAUGGAUUAAUAUUCUUUUGUUUAAAGGUGAUCGGGUCAAAUCCUACGUGAGUGAUUCAUGCACAUCUUCAGAAUAUAUACCACCAUAUCAUGUUAAUUCAUUCAAUUAAUUUCUUGCUGGUUUAACAUUUGCGCAAGUUCGUCAAGCUAGAAGGGGUGUUGUGUGACAAAUAAUACAUUUAACAAUGCACAAUCUCGUCGGUUUGCGUCCAAAAUUACCUUAUCAUCCUUUGCAGAAUUUUGGGGUUGAAUUGUUCGUUGUACUGCGAGUUAUAAAAUAUCGUAACCAAACAACAUAGAACACCGCGGUCAACCUUGGCUUUAUAGAUGUAAGAUUUAGUAAAAAUAAUCUAGAUGAUGUCUAAGAUGACGAGGAUUAUCAAACAACGGAGUAUAAUAACAGCAACAUUGGUACGGCAGCGACUCGAGCCAACAAUUAAGGUCACAUCAACGUUGUUGUUAUCAUUCACCGUUGUUUAAUGAUCUUCCUCAACUUGAGUCCUUGCCAUACAAACGUUGUUGUUUUCAUGCUCCAUUGUUUGAUGAUCCUCUUCAUUUUGGACACCAUCUAGAUUAUUGGUAUUAUGUCUUACAUUCAUAAACGCCAACGUUGGCCGCGAUGUUCUCUGUUGUUUGAUUAAGAUACUUUAUAACUCGUGGUACAAUGAACAAUUCAACCCCAAAAUCUUGCAAAGGAUCAUAAGGUAAUCUUGGGUGCAACUAGACGAGAUUGUACAGUGUUGGAUGCAUUAUUUGUCACAUAACAUCCCUUCUAGCUCGAAGAACUUGCAAGAUGUCAAACCAACAAGAAAUUGAUUGAAUGAAUUAACAUGAUGUGGUGGUACCUAUGAAUAGUCUUCGAUUUGAAUAUCAUGGAUAUAUAUUCGAUAUCAAUUUAUUAACUUAUUUUUAAGUGUAAAAAUAUCAUUAUAUAUCCCCAAUGUUAAUAUGAAUGGAUAGUUUCUUUUUGAGCUUA